rnacentral:rRNA from 1 species
UACGUAGGGUGCAAGCGUUGUCCGGAAUUAUUGGGCGUAAAGAGCUCGUAGGCGGUUUGCCGCGUCUGCUGUGAAAACUCGGGGCUUAACCCCGGGCCUGCAGUGGGUACGGGCAGACUAGAGUGCGGUAGGGGAGACUGGAAUUCCUGGUGUAGCGGUGAAAUGCGCAGAUAUCAGGAGGAACACCGGUGGCGAAGGCGCCACUCUGGGCCGAAACUGACGCUGAGGAGCGAAAGCGUGGGUAGCAAACAGG